rnacentral:rRNA from 1 species
AUACGGAGGAUCCGAGCGUUAUCCGGAUUUAUUGGGUUUAAAGGGUGCGUAGGCGGCCUUUUAAGUCAGCGGUGAAAGUCUGUGGCUCAACCAUAGAAUUGCCGUUGAAACUGGGAGGCUUGAGUAUGUUUGAGGCAGGCGGAAUGCGUGGUGUAGCGGUGAAAUGCUUAGAUAUCACGCAGAACCCCGAUUGCGAAGGCGGCCGCCAAAGCCAUGACUGACGCUGAUGCACGAAAGCGUGGGGAUCAAACAGGAUUAGAUACCCUGGUAGUCCACGCAGUAAACGAUGAUCACUAGCUGUUUGCGAUACACUGUAAGCGGCACAGCGAAAGCGUUAAGUGAUCCACCUGGGGAGUACGCCGGCAACGGUGAAACUCAAAUGAAUUGACGGGG